CUGUGCCAUCACUUAGGGUCUGACCUGAAGCUUGUUGAGCUGAAGAACAUUUCUAGCAGUCCAGCAAGGCUUUAUUGAGAUUUAGCACUCAGUCUCUGAGGGAACAGUAUAUUUGUUUUCUUCAUCGUGUGAAUGUGACACAUGGGAUAAGGUUCUUAUUUUAGAUGAAGGACAAGUACAUGGGUUUUCUAUUUACCUGAUGGCACGCACAGUUAGCUCUGAGGGUGCUGUACAUUAUCUUCCAUUCCCCAUCCUCACCCAGUAAUCUGUUGGUGCCUCUGCACCUGUUCCAGCAGUGAGCAGGAAGAGGGAGCAAGCCCUGUGCAUUGCUGGGGUUUUGCUAACAGGACAGGAAGAUUAAUCUAACUUCUGGGACACAGAGACAAGAGCUAGAUGUUAUUCCUAGCAGCCAAGGAUGAAAUAUCAGGAGCUGUCAACAGAUGAACAGAGAUUGAAGAGAUGAUGGAAGACCUGUGGUCAGAUAUGGGCUUUUAAUGAUGGGCAGCCUAGGCAGAACGAUAUGAACUGGUUCUGCACUUCUGAGAUGGCUGGAAAGCUGCCAGAGACCUUGGAGACGUUAGGACACCGCUGGAAUGAAUUUGCGUGCAUACUUUGCUUUGUCAAACACAAGGAUGUAAAAAUACUGUAUUCCACCUGAAAGCUGCCUUGUUGCAGAGUCACAUCCAGCAUCAUUGCAAGCAUCUUUAGAUUGUGAAGAAGUGAAGCCUGUAGCAAGGAAGCAAUUGUUAAGGGAGUUAACUGAUGUUAUUGAAUAGAAUCUGCAUUUGUGGAACAGAAUUAGGAGGCGCUUUCUUUACAUAAAAUAAGAGGAGCCAUUCACAGGAGACUGCAUACAGAGCACAAGCAAGCUAGGUUGGGAGUUCAUGGUAAUACUAAAUACCUUGCAGUGCAUGAGCUAUUUUUCACCAGGGAGACCAGAAGCCCUGAUCAGUAUUAAGAGCCUGUUGUCCUAUCGCAAAUACAGAGCAAACACAGAUAACAGGUAGCCAGCCCUGGAAAAUGUUUGUUUAUUCUGAUACAAUGGCAGAUUUACGCAUAAUUUGUGGACCUGCACUUAAUCAAAUCACAUGAACAUGUAGGCAAACACGUGCGGCCAUGCUUGUGUCUUUCAUCAAAUGUGAUUGAUAAAGAAAAGAAUUAGUGUAAGGAGUUGCAUUGUUGGAGGGCAUCGUUGUAAGCCAAACCUCUAUCGUCACAGCGAGCGGAGUUCCAGUAAUUGCAUUUUAAGGAGUAAUAAUUGACAUUUCAGGUACAAGAAGAGAAGAGCCUGGCUCAAUUGUAGAGUAUAUACCUCUCGAGAAUGACACAGGAAUGUCAUGAAUACGAAGACAGCAAAUUUUUGGCAUCUUUUACCUUUCAGGGGACAGCAGAUCAGCACACAGCCUUCACAAUGUUCUCUGUCUGUGAUGAUUUCGUUCUUUUAUUUACAGUCUUCCAUGGUGAUGGAGCCCACAAACUAUGUUCCACAAACUCCGUUCCACAUUCUUUGACUCCACCUAUGGGCAGCGUGGAUGGUGAAUGCUGGCUGAUGGCACCCUCACCCAAUUGCAGGAAGCCUGCUGCUCAGCAGCUUGAGGUGAAGCACAGAUCCUCCUUCAUGGCAUGGCACAGGCUGCAUGGAAAGCAAGGGAGGACACAAGCACUUCAUCCAGCGCCUGGCAGGAUUGUUCAGCCUUCCCCACUGUCCUGUUAACAAGUCUGUUCCCAGAGUAGAGAACCUGAAUGAGACCCAGGGCAGCUUUUGACAUAGUCAUGCUUUAUGCUCUGCCAUAUCUCUGCUGGCAAGGCACCCAGCAGCUCAGCUUGACAGCGAGAGUCUCACUGCUGUGCUGGAGAAAGCCAGAGUUGUCACAGAAGUUGAUAUAUUUGGGUUUCCUUGGUCAGUGACAGGCAAGUGCUUGACAAUGUGCUGUGCCUGCUCUAGUGCUCUGCUCCUUGCUGCCUGGGCUCUCAGUGGAGCAGCCAAACCCACAGGAGCUCACAUCUUGCAUGGGAUUAUGAGCUCCCAAUAUAAACCAGGAGGAUACCAUUGCUGGGCAGACAGGAACAGACAAAAGCAUUCAUUUAAUCUGUGCCAUCUACAAGUCUAGAACCAGAACGAGGUUCAAAGCCUUUGGCAGCCUGAGAUUGUUGGCAAUAGUGAGGCUAGAAAAGCCCUAGCUUAACCUGGAAAGCUGUGCUAAACACCUCACAAGAAAAUAUCUGUCUCUGAAUCAGAGCCUAAUUCUUGCUGUUGUUCUCUCACAGACACUGAGGAUCUCAGUGAUGCUCUGGACUUCCACGCUUGACAAUUUACAUGUAGGAUGAAAUUUUCAGGAGCAUCCAUUAUAGAUAUACAGUAGGAAAUUAAACAUAUAUUCAGGCAUUGAGAUCCACUGGCACACUCACACUCCCAAAAUUCAGCCUCCAGAAUAGGAAGACCAUAUCCAGAGUGCCUACUGGCAGCAGCCUCUGUUCUGUGCUAACAACUACUCUGCUCUGGGAGCAGUCCUGAUAAGCAUUAUGGAUCUAUGCAUGUUGCAACCAUGCCAGGACUCUUCUAACAGAUUGAGAGUACGGAUUAUUGAUCCCCAGCAUCUGCCUGUGUUGUUUGAUUUAUUGGUAGAGAAGUGUAUGUGAAUUCUGAGCCUGAAUCCAGAUUAAAAACCAGAAUUAUGUCAAUCUGUAUCCACAGUGGUCCCAGAAGAGCUGGAGGAACACUCAGUGCAGCAGUCCUGACAUGAAUUGUCCAAAACGGCUAACUUGCCUGAGUAUAAUGACUUCAGCUAGAGUUGUAUUUAUCAGCCAGCUCCAGCCUUCAAGGACUUGGUUCUAAAAGAACCCUGAAUUGAUUAGUUACCCACCUAAACAGGUUUUACAUUCCAGAUGAGCUCCUUUAUUCAAAUGACAGAGGGCCAUUAUGUUGCUAGAAUGAUUACCAUGUCCUCCAUAUAUGGCUCCAAGUGAAUCAGUGAUCACUUUUAUAAGAAAAUUUGCUCCUACAAACUCCUCUGAUUUAAUGCUGCGGUCAUGGAUCCAGAUUGAGUUACAUUCCUACGCCUACCUGAAGAUAAGUGGACUUCCAGCCUCACCACCAGACACGUUCAUAUUUCAGGUCCCCGCCAUGAUGGCUCUGAGCGUUGUGGUGUGGCUACAGGAGAUCAGUACUGCGCAAAUGAGCAGCAAGGCUGAAGAUCUGGAUAAAAUUUUACUUCAAGCCUUAUUUUAUUACUCCACCAACAGCCUCCUCUUUAACUUUGUUCUCCCUGUGGGUAAAGUUUGAAAUGUCCCACUGAAUGGUGGAGUCCAACUACAGCAAUUGUACAAUGAUGGCAUUCUGUAGCAAGUAUGUCAAAGGGGAAGCUUUCAGUGCGUUUACUGAGCUUUUCAUGAUACAGGUAUCUGAUGCAUCCAAAAAUUGUUUUAGUUCUUCGUCCUUCUUCAAGAUAAUCUUACUGAACAUUAAAGAAAACUGUGUGAUGUUUAUUUUUUUGUCAAAUUUCUGUGGCAAUACUGCAUGCUACUGCAGCAGGCAGCGAGGGGAAUCUUAAAAUGUUUUGCCAGUCCAGUGCCCAAAAUCUCUCUAAAUCCCAGAGGUAUUGCAAGCUUUUGGCAGAGUAGAGGCUGGCAUGAAAAGCCACGGACAUUCCACCUACAGUAACAGAGCUCUGGUAAAGGAAUCUGUAGGCUGGAAACUGAACGCAUGGAGGAGCAGAUAUGGGUCACCAUAUGGGCCCUCAGUCAUUGGCUCCAUCAUCACUGUUUGUAUCAAGAGCCAGAGCCAAGCUCUCCAUAACGUGUCUCCUUCUCCACAUCCACCUUUGCUAGCUCCUCUAUGUUUCUCUUCCUACAGAGGGAACAGUGCAUUUCUGCUUAUCAUUGUGGCACUGAGGGAUGUGGUUUAGAGAGCAUAGUGAUCGUGGUUGGAUUAGAGGAUUUUAGUGGUCUUUUCCAACCUUAAUGAUUCUAUGAUUUUAUGAUCUCUUCCAUAGGGCAGCAGAACUCAGUUUUCCUGCUCUUGAAAAGUUGGCCCUGGCCAAAAGUCUGGCUUGCAUUUACACUGCAACCCCGUUUUGUUUGCUUGGCUUUCACGCUCCUAUGACCUGCCCACAACAACAGAGCAGUUACCAGCCUCCUGGUUAUUAGGAACCAUAUUGUAGAGCUGUAUCCACAUUUUUCAAAGUUUUAUCACUUGUGGAAUUCUUCCAAAGAGAUAUGGAAAAAAAAAAACCACCACCAACGACAGCAACAAACCCAAACCCACAAGCCACAUGACAGGACCAUGCAUCAGUAGUUCUAACCUUCGUCAGCUUGUUGUUCAGUUUAUGAUUAUUCUGUGUACAGGAUAGAUUAUAAAAUGUUCCCUUGACAUCAUCUCAAUGACAAUCUGGUUUGAAGUAAGGGAAGAUUUUAAUGGAAAAAUAUCCAAACACAUCUUGAAAACAUUUUUGACUCUUGUUGUCCCAAAUCCCUCAUUUCUGUCCUGUAGGGUAGAAAAUGUUGCUAUUUCCAGUUUCUGGAUACCAUAAUCUGGCUGAUUUAUUUUUAUAACCAAAAUAAUUGUAUGUCUGAUUUGCCAAGAAUUUAAAAAAUUCCAGGCAGCUCUCAGUAUUUAUGUCACCAUAGCACCAGUUGUCCUGGCAGGGGUUGGGGAUUUUUACAGUGCAUGCUGUACAAGCAGAGCCUUCAAAAAGAAUCUGCGUUAGAGCUUGAUUCUUUACUUCUGCAACCCAUUUCUGCCAUGUUUCAUUCACUGUGAGAAAAUGUGAGGUACUGAGAUGGAUAUCACCACUCAACUAGUGAACACUAGUAGUAGAUCGCCAGCUGAAAGUAUAUCUUGUCCUGUUGCAGUAAGGUGAAGCUAACAGGAUCUUUCUGCUGGGAUUAUAUGUGGAGAUAUAAUAUGAUAGCUGCUGAUGUAAAAACACAUCCUUUCUCAAGUACAAAUGUAGAAGCCAGGUGAUUCCUUAGGAGAAGAACCACUGUCAUGCAAAGCUGAACCAGUUGGUGGACGCUUAGGUAAUAAAUGAUGACAACAUCUAGACAGGAGAUGAAAUGUUUUGUGGAGGGAGUUCAGUGUCAGAUUCAGAGCAAGCUUGGGAACUCUCUCCACUUCUCCAGAUCUCCCACAGGCUUCACUUUGAAAAAAAGAAAUAUGCUACAAAUGUGGUACUUCAGCACCUCCGUAUCAGUGCAGGGGGAACCUACCAAAAGGGCAUGCUGAUACCCCUUUUUGUCCCAGCUGGACUUCUCACCAUCAGUCAGUGAAGUGACACAAAUGAAUCCCCCGAUGCCCAAAGAGUGUGCAAAAUGCCAUCAUAGUGCUGUAUUUUACCCGAUUGCUGUGGUUUGCUUCUCUCCCUUCAAGUCUUCUUAAAGACCCCAACCAGCACAUGAAAGGCAAAAUACCAUCCCCUUUUCUUGCUUUUCCCUAGUGCCAUGGCCUAAUUUCUAACAUAACAUUUUUGGCAAGUUCCAGUGCAAGGCUCCUUGUUUGGUAUUACUGAAAUCUUUCCAUUUGGAUUAAUUUGGUUGGUGUUUAACUUUGCCUUAUAUGCUUAAGUAACAGGCUGAGCAGAAUGCUUGUUACCUUGGGCAACCCAAAACUGACUGCUGAACUGCCAGUCAUUAACCAUUUACCUGGGACUUAACAACACUAUUUACUAAUCAAUAGUGAGAACCAUGGUAACCUUGGCUCUACAGAGCCUGAUAUCUUAUGGGAACCACGCUAAAGAAACACCAAUUCCUAGUCUUUAAUACCUGGUUCUUUUCUGCAAGGCUUCAGAGAAAGGUAAAUUUCCUGUUUUCCAUAUUAAUAAUCUCCUUUAAAGAAUAAAUUUGCAUUUCACCACUAUUUUUUUUUUUAAUUUUUUCCCUUUCUCUUUUAACAGUUGGGAUGUGGCAGAAGAGGCAUGGUAUGGAUGGAGCAGAAGAAUGACGCAAGUUUAGGAGGAGGUGUCUGAUGAGGCAGAAAGAAACCUAAUCUUUAAAUGCAGAUGAACUCCCCCAGAGACAGCUGAAACGGAGGGGAGAUCAGUGGGGAUGCUGUAUCACCUGACACAUCUGCUGCUGAUACGCCUGCCAGGAAAUGGGGAGUUGUGAGCAAGGUUUGAACCCUUAGGCUUUACUAAGGAGUAGCAAAUACAGCACAGAAUGAGGUCCAACAAGGUGGGAGGCAGGUAAGAUUGCUGCAGAUGAAGUUGUCAAAUAAACUUUAUCUUAAGACUUUAAGAAGAAAUUGUAAAAUGGGCUUAACAGCGCUCUUUCUCACAGAUGUGGUGAGCCUCUGGAAACUGCUGCCUCCAUCUAUGGCUGGGCUUGAAUGGAGUCAAAACAUGUCUGUGAAUAAUAGCAUACCGUUACAAGUCCAAGUCUUACAGAGACACAGAUCAGGUUUACUUUCCUGAACAAAAAUGGGUUUGGACAUCAUAAUGAGCUACAUAUCACCUAGUCGGGUUUAUUCACCCCCUACAAUGGCUCAUCUUACCCUGAAGAUAAAGGAACUGCUGGCUGACCUCGUGCUUCAGAGUUCAUGGGCAGGGAGCCACUUUUGGAGGAUGGUUGACCUACACCUUGGAGCUACAGCAUCUGUUAGCAUCAGGCAAAAUACAACUAUUCAGGAAGAGCUGCCCUACACUUCGUUACAGGAACACUGGUCUCAAAAUUCUCCCCUCACUUCAGAGUCCACCUGCUCAGUGCCUUCCAACACAGUUGACUUCCUGCUGGCCAGUCACUGCAAGUGUCUGUGCAGAAAGACCACAUCAAUUAACAUUUUUUUGUUGUUGAUUUUAUUGACUCUUCGUGAUAUUUGACACCCGAAAAUGAGAAGGAGUGUCUACCUCGGUGAGACUAAGUAGCAAGAGGAAGAGACAACUGAAAACGGUUAAGAGAAACUCAGCCCAGAACAAUGUGGGACAAAGCAUUUAUUUCCUGGAGAUGCUUCUCUAAAGAAAAAGUGCUAUGAGAAAAAUUCCGCCGUCUACAGAGAAUCAGAAAUCAUUCAGAGAAAAUGGAUUAAUGCAAUUUUCCUAUGCUUUUUUUAAAAGAAGCGAGCAGUGGAAACAUUUCAUUAUCUCCAUGAGAGAUUCAAAUGCACUUGUGUGUGCUGCAGGGAUAAUGGCAUUUCCUGGGACCCUGAAGGUACUUUGGCCUCAUCCCAUGCCUGGCUAUCGGUGGAAGCUUUCAGUUAUCCAAGCACAAGGAAAAUGUUUGUUUAAAUAAAAAAGGAGUAGCGUGAGGCCAGUUCUGUGGAGUUUCUUAGAGUGUUAUCUUGCAAGACUUUUUAUUUACUAAUGGUAUUCAGCUUUGACAUUCAGAGGUCAGCCUUGUAAGGCAGCAGAUGCUUGGGACAUGUUUUCACUUGGCGAUGCUGAAGGUGAGAGAGAGCUUUGAAAGGACUGCUGGCAAAACUGGUGUCUGAGUUUUGAAGUUUUGUAUGCACUCUGAAUAUUACCCCAUGCAGCUUGAAAUCUCAAAGAAAAGUAAAAAAUGCUAUCAUUAUUGACCAAUGGGACUGUAUUUACAA
ensembl:lncRNA